UANGGGUAAAAUCCGUAGAUAUCAGAAGGAAUACCGAUUGCGAAGGCGAUCUGCUGGAACAUUACUGACGCUGAGACGCGAAAGCGUGGGGAGCAAACAGGAUUAGAUACCCUGGUAGUCCACGCCCUAAACGAUGUACACUAGUUGUUGUGGUGCUAGUCACUGCAGUAAUACAGUUAACACAUUAAGUGUACCGCCUGGGGAGUACGGUCGCAAGAUUAAAACUCAAAGGAAUAGACGGGGACCCGCACAAGCGGUGGAGCAUGUGGUUUAAUUCGAAGAUACGCGAAAAACCUUACCUGGCCUUGACAUUGAUAGAAUCCUGUAGAGAUACGGGAGUGCCGGCUUGCCGGAACUCGAAAACAGGUGCUGCACGGCUGUCGUCAGCUCGUGUCGUGAGAUGUUGGGUUAAGUCCCGCAACGAGCGCAACCCACGUCCUUAGUUGCCAGCAUUUCGGAUGGGAACUCUAAGGAGACUGCCUUCGCAAGGAGGAGGAAGGUGUGGACGACGUCAAGUCAUCAUGGCCCUUACGGCCAGGGCUACACACGUGCUACAAUGGGGCGUACAAAGAGCAGCAAUACCGCGAGGUGGAGCAAAUCUCAAAAACGCCUCCCAGUUCAGAUUGCACUCUGCAACUCGAGUGCAUGAAGUUG
rnacentral:rRNA from 1 species